AGGCAUCCACUCCACGUCACAAGGGUUAUCUUAACAAAUAGAUAUAUAAAUAGAUAGAUAUUAAUAAAAUGAGUUUUUGUUCUUUUGUUUUGGGCCUUCCAAAGAUUAGUGAUUUAGUGCGUAAAGCAAGUAGUGGUUAUUCCGGCUUGUGAUGGAGGCCAUAGCCCAAAAGCAAGUGUAAAGAGGGCACGGGCUCCACGCACACUCUCCCUAUAAAUUCCGAACUAGUAUGUUUGUUCCCCAUUGCUGCGAAAAGAAGAGAUCGGAAGCCCUGGUUCGUUCCAUCUUUUUAAUCAAAGGAAUCACAGUUGAGGGCCAAGACAACCUCGUACUCUCUCUCUCUCUCUCUCUCUACUGUGUUCCUUUGGUUAACCAGAUGUACUGAAUCAUCAUCAUCUUUAUUCAUCGGCUUUUCGGAACCCUAACAUGAAGAAUUGAAGCUCGAAAACAACCGAAUCGAGGAGUAAGUUUGUGGUCCUCGGAUAAAACAGAGGUUGUUGGCUGAAGAUCGAGUUUGAGGAUGUGGCGCCAGUGGCGGACAGGGUUAGUGGUGGAACUGGAAUCUGACGAACAGGGUUUUGGACUUUUGGUUUUAGGAACUACCAGAUUUUAGAUGGAUCACCGGUGGUCCAGAACAAGACAGGACCAUAAUAUACAACGUGUACAUUAUAAUACUAUUUCCUUUCAUUAUCAAAUAUCAAGUACCAAUCCGGCUAAAAUUUUUAUAUAUGAUUAAUUUUAAUGUGAAAUACAAAAGUAUUUGAUUAUUUUAGUGUU